ACGGGAGGCAGCAGUGGGGAAUAUUGCACAAUGGGGGAAACCCUGAUGCAGCGACGCCGCGUGAGCGAUGAAGUAUUUCGGUAUGUAAAGCUCUAUCAGCAGGGAAGAUAAUGACGGUACCUGACUAAGAAGCCCCGGCUAACUACGUGCCAGCAGCCGCGGUAAUACGUAGGGGGCAAGCGUUAUCCGGAUUUACUGGGUGUAAAGGGAGCGCAGGCGGUUUUUUAAGUCUGAUGUGAAAGCCCGUGGCUCAACUGCGGGACUGCAUUGGAAACUGGAGAACUAGAGUGCCGGAGGGGCAAGUGGAAUUCCUAGUGUAGCGGUGAAAUGCGUAGAUAUUAGGAGGAACACCAGUGGCGAAGGCGGCUUGCUGGACGAUAACUGACGCUGAGGCUCGAAAGCGUGGGGAGCAAACAGGAUUAGAUACCCUGGUA
rnacentral:rRNA from 1 species